CAGCCGCCGCGGUAAUACAGAGGGUGCAAGCGUUAAUCGGAAUUACUGGGCGUAAAGCGCGCGUAGGUGGUUCGCCAAGUUGGAUGUGAAAUCCCCGGGCUCAACCUGGGAACUGCAUCCAAAACUGGCGAGCUAGAGUAUGGUAGAGGGUGGUGGAAUUUCCUGUGUAGCGGUGAAAUGCGUAGAUAUAGGAAGGAACACCAGUGGCGAAGGCGACCACCUGGGCUCAUACUGACACUGAGGUGCGAAAGCGUGGGGAGCAAACAGGAUUAGAUACCCCUGUAGUCCCUGUCUCUUAUAC
rnacentral:rRNA from 1 species